UGUGUGUGUGUGUGUGUGUGUGUGUGUGUGUGUGUACCCGCACAGCCUCCACCCGCCUGCGUCGAGGGUGCAUGCUGGAUGAGGCCCCUUGGGGCGCGGGGAGAUGCGCGGUCCCUGGCAGGAUGUAGCUGGCACAGGUAGAGUGUGCGAAUGUGUGUGCCAACAUGUGUUCCUGCAUGUACAGUUUGCAUUGCGGUGUAGGCAAGGACUGCCUGUACGCGUGUCGCUUGCGCUGCAUGUAUGUGCACAAAGUGUGUGUACUUUGUGCUGUGCAUGUGUAAGGCGGGGGGUAGUUUGCAUCGUGUGGGUGUAGUGUGGUGUAGCGUGCACUGUGCAUGUGUAAAUGGGACGUAGCUUGCCUUGUCUGUGUGUGAAUGGGGGGUAGUUUGCACCGCAUGUGAGUGGGGUGUAGUCUGCACUGUGCAUGUGCCACUGGGGACAGCGUGUGUGUAGUCAGCCCUGUGCGCGUGUCAGUUGGGGCAGGGCAUGUGCAUCAUCUCGGUGGUGAAUGUGUAGACAGGGACAGCCUAUGCGCCUGUACGACUUACAACGGCUGCGGAGGGGGACGGUGCGGGUGCGUGACACACGGACGUCUGCAGUGUGCCUGGCUUCCCCAGGCCCGUGGCGACGAGUGUGUGGAUGGCACGGGGUGUGUGUGCAGCUCUGUUGCAGGGCACAGCGGAGUGGAACAUCCUUGCCAUCUGCCAGCAUGGAGGGAAAGGGACGGAGCCUGCCCCACGAUGCGAUGCUGCUGCUGCUGCUGGGGCUGGUGCUGAGCGUGGAGCCCGGCCAGGCGGCCGUGCACGUUAACCUCACCGAAGG